rnacentral:lncRNA from 1 species
GCAUAUGGAGGUUCCCAGGUAGUGGUCCAAUCAGAGCUACAGCUGCUGGCCUACACCAGAGUCACAGCAACACCAGAUCCAAGCCACAUCUGAGACCUACACCACAGCUCAUGGCAAUGCUGGAUCCUUAACCCACUGAGUGAGGCCAGGGAUUGAACCCGCCAUCUCAUGGUUCCUAGUCAGAUUUGUUUCCACUGCGCCACGAUGGGAACUCCUGAAGGAGUAACUUCUAAAUUGAGACCUGAAAGAUAUAUAGUCUUAUUUGGGCAAAGAAUGGGAAAAAAAUUUUUUUUUUCUGGUAGAAUGCUUUGAGGAAUACAAAAAGGAAAAUUUAAGGAACGAAAAGAGGACAAAAAUAGCUGAGGAGCAGUGGGCAAGGAGACUAGUGAGUUGGAUUGUGUGAAACACAGACAGGACCAGGUCACACAGGGCUUUGCAUGAGGAGUUUGAAUAUUAUUCUAAGUCUAAUUAGAGUCUAUAGAAGGAUUUAAGAACAAGAUGGCUUAAUUAGAUUCAUAUUUAAAGACGUAGUUUUGACUAUGAUAUAGAAAUAAAAUUAGGAAUGAAAAUUAGGAGAUCAGUUAAGUACUGCAGGGUCAGAGAUUAAGGGAGGCGUGGUGACAGUUUACAUUUGAGUAGUACAGGUGAAAAGGGAGCAAUAUUGAGGCUCUUUUGCAGGUAAGUUGUAUAGGACUUCGUUUUGUAUUUCUUGUAGAUAGGUGAAUAAGGAACACAUCAAAAAGUGUAACAUUCCAAUAGUCACAGAUUUUUUUCCUAAAGAAUUAAUAGCCUUAGUAGGAAGAUAAUAUGCACACAAAUAAGAGAGAUACAUCUAAAGAGGUUUGGGGAGCAUAGGAGUAUCCCGGUUUGUGCAGGAGGAUCUCAAGCAAGGCUUCACAGAGGUGGUGGCAUUUGAAGCAUAUGGAUACAUUUUAGGAUGUAUAAAUACAACAGAGAAUACAAUCACAACUAUACAGAUAUGUGCGUACUUCCACCUCUACAGAUUUUUAUGUAGUCCUAUAUUUGGCACAAAUAUACUGAAUGCCUACAAUAUGUCAAAAGUGUUAUACAGGAGUUCCCAUCGUGGCGCAGUGGUUAACGAAUCCGACUGGGAACCAUGAGGUUGUGGGUUCGAUCCCUGCCCUUGCUCAGUGGGUUAACGAUCCAGCGUUGCCGUGAGCUGUGGUGUAGGUUGCAGACGCGGCUCGGAUCCCGCGUUGCUGUGGCCCUGGCGUAGGCCGGUGGCUACAGCUCCGAUUGGACCCCUAGCCUGGGAAUUUCCAUAUGCCACGGGAGCGGCCCAAGAAAUAGCAAAAAGACCAAAAAAAAAAAAAAAAAGUGUUAUACAUUUUAAUGUAACAUUUAAUGCCCAAGUAGAUACUCAUUCUUACCCAUUUUACAGAAAGAGACAGUUAUAUAGUUAAUGUACUCAAUAAUGCAAACCAUAUAUAUAAUUGAGGCUGUUUUGAAUUUAGUUUUGCUGGACUUAGAAAUUUUUAAUUCAUAAUAGCAACAUCUAUCCCCUAGCACGUAAUACAUUAUUCUUCAUAAUACUUAUACUGUCUAAUGUAAUGAACAUUUUACAAUUUUCCUUUUUUUACCUCUACUAUUAAAAUAUUAAGCCCUCUGAAGGUCAAAAUUGUCCUGUUUCAUUCACCAAUGGAUCCUCAGCACUCGGAUAGAGUCUGUACUCAAAGCUACUAAGUGGGAGGAAUAAAUCUGAAAAAUGGAUGCUUAUAAACCCAUUUUCCUCCCACUCAUCAAGAUCUUUCAGCAAAUUCAAGUAUAUCAGUUUAUAAUGUUAUUGAUCUAGUUUUACCAACUCAAACCAUAUUUGACUUUAUCCUUUCUUUUUAUUACCCACCAGCCAGUUCAGAAUAAAUUUAUUGACCCAGGUGCUAGGCUCCAGUUUGACGAUGAAGAUAUACAAGACAGACUAUGCCCUCAGGGAGCAUGUGAUAUAUUGGAAGACACGACAUAAUCUUUUGAAAGGUUAAAUAAUACUAACACGGUGAUGUAAUCAAUAUCAAAAGACUGCAUUAAGACAAAAUUGAAGUGCCAAAGAGAACAAUAAGGAUAAUAUAUAUAAUGGCAGAUAAGAAGACAUUAUUGAGGAUUUAGUUGAUCUAUUUCGGCUUCAUAGAGGAAAAGAGCUUUGACCAGGUUAUUAAAAAUAGGUAAGAUUUUCUUAGGAAAAAAGAAAAUAUGAGGACAAGCCAGGUAAGAGCCGUGUAGAAGCAGAAGCAUACGAGUGAACCUAAAUAAACUGGAGGAACAAGAUAUCGAAAGGGCUGACUGGAUCAAAGAAUGAGAGAACAGGAGUUUCUGGGAUACUAUGCCCAAAUGUGAGAACUGGAAUUAACUAAUUGAGGUUUCCAAACAUAUCUUGAUAUUAGGUAAUGACUUAAGAUUUGUUUUACUUUUGAAUACUUCAUUACGGCAAGGUAGGUGAGGUCAAAUACCUCAAUGUCCCUACACUAAGGGAUAAAGGACAAGUAUUACCAUGGAAACCUACAAGCUGAAGGUCAGAAAGCUCCCCUGUUCUGACAGCAUCAUGCAGAGAAGGGUCUGGGGCCUGAAUGAUCUGCACAAAACAUAACUGGUUUGAGUCUUAGGGCAAAGGUGUUGUUCCUUUGCUAUACCACAGUGCAAGAGCAAGGAUAAUUUUGAAGCAGAGUUCCUUACCAGACAUCUUGAGGCAAAUGCCAGUUGUGCAUAAACUUGUUGAAAAUGGCAGUCUCCAGCAUCUAUGACUACAGUAAACUUUAGAUUUGAGCUCCUGGCCAAAAGGGAUGCCAUGGUCCCUGUGAAGCUGGAAUCAGGCACCUGUUCCCAAGCCAUCUGAGUCUUUAGGGAUGGUCUCCAAAGCAAUCCUACUUAUCUCUUUCACCAGCUCAUUGAUGAAUUGAUCAUCUCAGAUAUGCUCUAUUAAUUUAAAAGAAUGAUUAUCAAUUGAUUCAUUUAUUUAUUCAAAAAUGUGUCUGUUGUGCCUCAGUUUUAAAAGCAUUGUCACUACUAUAUAUCAGCACUAAUAUAGGCAUUAGAUACAUAUCUGAGAGCAAGACAGAGCCCCUGGUUGGGGAUGCUAGUGCUGUGAUGAAGGCUAUGAGAGCAGCAAGCACAGGACACUGUGGGGAGGUAGAAGAAGGACACCUACACUAGAGCAUAGUGACAUCUAAACUGAAAUAUAAAGAUGAGUCAGCAGAGGACUCUGGGAAGGAAAGGCUCUCCAGAUGGGGAAACUGGCAUGAGGAGAAACCAGAGCCUGUUCACAGGGCUGCAAGUGAUUCGGGGGGCAGGAGCAUUGGAGAUGGAGAAGCAAAUGGUCCAGAUUAGAAAAAUCUUCAGGUCAUGUUAGGGAAUUUGACCUUUGCCUAAGGGACUCUUGGAGGGCUUUAAUCAGAGGAAGAGAAUGUCCAUAUUCUGUUUUUAAAGGGUCUUCUUAACAGCACUGACAAAAAUAUAGUGUAAUCACAGAGAAGAGCCAUAUACAUAAUUGUAAGUGUUCUAAUAGCCAUACUUUAAAAUAAAGAGAUGAAAUAAUAUUAGUAACAUAUUUCAUAUAACACAAUGUAUCUAAACUCUUAUUGUUUUGGCAUGAAAUCAACACAAACACUGUCAAGGAGGUAUUUUACAUUCUUUCAUUUGUACUAGAGCUUUGGUAUCCAUUGUGCCUUUUACACUCACAGCACAUCUCCAAUCGAACUAACCACAUUUCAAGUGCUCAAUAGCCACAUGUGGUGAGAGGCCACUGUCCUGGGCAGUGAACCCCUGGAAGUGGUGGACAGAAAAGAGUUUGGGGUAGAGAACGGCUGAGGGUGGGGCUGGGACAAACCUGAAGAAAUUUUGAAACAUAAUGCUUCUUGAGGUACACUCAGGUAUGGGUGGGUCCACAUUGAGUUGAUUUGGGGCUACAGGCCCAGGUAAAAGGAAGCUCAGCUAUUGAGAAGAAUAAAGCAAUGGACAGGGACAAAAACCAACAGGAUGCUUUUGUAGUACCUACCUGACACCUGCCUCCAGAAGGCCCCAGGUGGCACUGUAUGAUCUUGAACAAGUUUCAGCUUCCCCAAAUGUUUCCACAGCAAGAAUAGGGACAAAGGAGCAGCAAUUAAUUGUGGACGUUUGCAGUCAGGCAGGCAGCAAAGAGGUAGCCUAUUACAAUGGAGUAAGAGCUAGGUCUCAGGCACAUCUUCAGGCCCUGGAAGGCAGAGUAUGGUAAGACUCCAUCAGGAAACUAUCUAGAAAGAAAAUGAAAAAGAUUUUUAAAAAUAUGUUUGAAUACUUAUUAUGUGCCAACUCGUGGAACCAAAACAUAGCCAGACAGAUCACACCAACCUAUGCAGAUGAACAUGUGAAACGACUGCAACCCUCCUCCCCAGCUAUCACAGUACAAUGAUAAGUCCCCACUGUAAUCGAGCUUAUUCACUGAUAAUCAAACCUGAAAUCCAUUGAGCUUGCUGACCUCACAUCACUAAAGUCCAAAUUCUGAUUUCAUAGGCCCUGAUGCUUUCCAGCCCUUCCUUGAUGUGAAGGGAGAAGGGAGCCACUGCCUUCCCUCUGUAUUGUUUUGAGUUAGAGGGGAAUACGUUGCACAGCAAAAGAGGAAUAGGAAUUAAUGCAACAUCUCUGAGCUGACAGGUGUGGCCCUUUCUUUCCCAGUGGGCUCACAUGCUAACAGUAUGUUUGGCAAGGACAGGGUUAAUUAAGGGUCACAACCUUCUGGAUAGAACCCCAUCUGUCCACUCACCUUCAAACCCUAUUACCCACUCUUUCUAGAUUCUUUCUUCCUUGAUGAAUGGAAAGGAUUUCCACCCCCCUCAGAAGAUGCACAGGCUCUCCCUUUGAUUUGUGCUUCUCCAUGCCCACUGGUAGUUUUGUAAAUACCUCGUAGUUCCCAUGCAAAUCCAUGGAUCCAAAUGGAUGCUGUGUGUAUAGAAACUGAAGUAGUACCCUCAGCUUCAUAACUCAGACAAAUUUAAGACCCAGUCUUUCCCCAAUACACUUUUAUUCUUUCACUCAUCUACCUUUCCAUUUUAUGGAUGAGAAAAGCAGGAUUUGGGAUUAUCAAGUAACGUGUCUGAUACAACCAUGCGGCAGAGCCAGGAUUCAAAUCUAAGUCUGCCUUGCUCCACUGUUCAUGAUUUUUCUUUUGAACAAGUCUGUCCUGGUAUUUGGAACACAUGGGACAAAUCAAGGAUCCAGUUACCCGAAGUGGGGAACACACAGUAAAAAAGUCUAAGAAAGCAGUUAAGGCUUAGGAUCAGAACUAACCUUAAAGGCCAAGGCAAAGAAAACAGGGACUGGAUUCUGAAUCUUAGGCCUAAUACCAUCCUUCUACCACCAGAUGAAGCAUAAAAGAUCAGGACGGUUACAAUUUCAGCUGGCCUCUGGGGCUGGACUGUCAGAGUUUAAAUCCUAGCUCCACCGCUUGCUAGCUAUGUGGCUUGGGACAAAUUACCCAAUCACUUUGUGCCUCAGUUUCCUCCUCUGUAAAUAUAGGUAAAAUAGCACCCUUCUCAUGGAGUUGUUUCAGGAUGAAUAUUGUUAAAAAUUUGGGGAAAAUGCCUGUGCAAUGCAAUUCUGACAUUAACUCCCUGGAGUUAUUGCAGACUUCACAGGCUAAGGGAACAGCCUUCCAAGAUUGCCUUCACUUCAGAUACCAGCCACAAACUCUGGUCCCCAAGUUGUUUAUCAUUCUGACCAACUGGCUACAAAUUCUUGAGUUUCCACUCUCCUCUCGGGUUGGAUAAU